rnacentral:misc_RNA from 1 species
CCAAUAGCGUAUAUUAAAGUUGUUGCAGUUAAAAAGCUCGUAGUUGAAUUUUGGGUUUGGCCGAUUGGUCCGUUCUUGUAGCGAGUACUGGUCGGUUGGGCCUCACCGCUUGGGGAAGGGUAAUGUCCUUUAUUGGGUGUUGCUCGGAGCCAAGACCUUUACCUUGAAAAAAUUAGAGUGUUUAAAGCAGGCUUAUGCCGGAAUACAUUAGCAUGGAAUAAUAGAAUAGGACAACGAUUCUAUUUUGUUGGUUUCUAGGACCGUUGUAAUGAUUAAUAGGGAUAGUUGGGGGCAUUAGUAUUCAAUUGUCAGAGGUGAAAUUCUUGGAUUUAUUGAAGACUAACUACUGCGAAAGCAUUUGCCAAGGAUGUUUUCAUUAAUCAAGAACGAAAGUUAGGGGAUCGAAGACGAUCAGAUACCGUCGUAGUCUUAACCAUAAACUAUGCCGACUAGGGAUCGGAUGAUGUUAAUUUUUUAAUGACUCAUUCGGCGCCUUACG